AACGAACGCUGGCGGCAUGCCUAACACAUGCAAGUCGAACGAGACCUUCGGGUCUAGUGGCGCACGGGUGCGUAACGCGUGGGAACCUGCCCUUAGGUUCGGAAUACCUCCCCGAAAGGGGUGCUAAUACCGGAUAAUGUCUUCGGACCAAAGAUUUAUCGCCUUUGGAUGGGCCCGCGUUGGUUUAGCUAGUUGGUAGGGUAAAAGCCUACCAAGGCGACGAUCCAUAGCUGGUCUGAGAGGAUGAUCAGCCACACUGGGGCUGAGACACGGCCCAGACUCCUACGGGAGGGAGCAGUGGGGAAUAUUGGACAAUGGGCGAAAGGCUGAUCCAGCAAUGCCGCGUAAGUGAUGAAGGCCGUAGGGUUGUAAAGCUCUUUUACCCGGGAUGAUAAUGACAGUACCGGGAGAAUAAGCUCCGGCUAACUCCGUG
rnacentral:rRNA from 1 species